GACGGACGGAGCCCCCCGGCCCCUGCCCGGCACCACCCUGACGUACUUCCCCAACGCCAGGUGGGUACCGGACGGGGACCAGGGGGCUCCACCACAACCGC
rfam:Dietzia cinnamea P4 contig00134, whole genome shotgun sequence.